UACAGAGGGGGCAAGCGUUGUUCGGAAUUACUGGGCGUAAAGGGCGCGUAGGCGGCCUGUUAAGUCGAACGUGAAAUCCCUGGGCUCAACCCAGGAACUGCGUCCGAUACUGGCAGGCUUGAAUCCGGGAGAGGGAUGCGGAAUUCCAGGUGUAGCGGUGAAAUGCGUAGAUAUCUGGAGGAACACCGGUGGCGAAGGCGGCAUCCUGGACCAAUUCUGACGCUGAGUGAGCGAAAGCCAGGGGAGCAAACGGG
rnacentral:rRNA from 1 species